GGGGACGGGCGCUCGACCUCCAGGUUUCGGAGUCUCCGAGGGACGGGCCCCCGAAGAUACGCAGCUCUCGAAGCGGACCCCGAAACCCCCCCCCCCCCGCCCCGCAAAAAAAAACUUCUAGCUCGCCCCGGGUCGCGUCCUUCUCCCAUCAGCCUCCCCGACCCAUCGCUCCCGCACCGGUCGCGGCUGGUCCUCGGCAGUUUCAUCACGGAAUCGCCAAAAGAUGCGAUUUCCUAACAGCGGGGCGACGAUCCGUGCGAUUCCGAUCGCGUCGCCGACGCGAAGCGACGGGGAGAAAUGGGCCCCCGCCCCGAGAGACGCCGAUCGGCGGGGACCGACCACCCCCCCCCCCCCCCCCGCCGCCCCCCGGCCCGGACUCGCGGACCCCUCGCCCCGUGUCUCCCCGCUGGGCCCCUUCGAGUGCCGCGUCCCGGGGCGCCCCGGCCGAACGCUACCUUCUCUCAGGUGGGUCCGGGCUCCCUUCGGUCGGCUCACCGGUGGCGAGGCGCGGGAGCAGCUGCCGAAGGGGAAGGCGAAGGGAUCGUGAGGUCACACCGUUCGGCCCGCUCCCGGGGAGACCCACCGGAAAGGGUUCGAUGCCGAAAGUUAACGAGGCGGGCGGACGGACGGACGGACGGACGGAAGGCCCUGCCCUGGGUGGGUGGUGGGAGAGGUUACGGUGGAGGGAGGCGAUGGCCUUGGGACUGAGUAGCCUCUGGAGAGAGGGACUCUCGGGAACGGGGCGCGUAGAUGCUUUCCCUUGGUCCGCUCUGGAUAGAGUCAUCCCGUCUCUCGGUCCUUUAGUCUCUCGGUCCUCGGUCCUGCUGGCUCCUCUGCAUUUACUUGCGCUGGCUUCGCUAGUGCGGGUUGGAGAGGGUGAGCGGAGGAGAGCGGAUGAGCACUCCUCGGUUCCCGUCGGAUGGCACGCUCCCGGGAGCUCGGUACGGUGCUCUGCACGUAGUAAGGGCUCGAUGAAUUCCGCUGAUCCGUUUGGGAAAGAUCCGAUCCCUUCGGUCGGCCCGCUCCCUGUCCGGGAAGUGCUUCCUUUGGGCCAAGAGCCGUGCUAAGCGGCUGGGGUAGAUACAGCGCCGUCGGAUCAGCUCCGGUCCCUACCCCACAAGGGGCUCCCAGUCCGAAGGGGAAGGAGAGCGGGGAUCUCGUCCUCGUUUUACGCAGGGGAAAACCGAGGCCCACGGAGGCUCGGUGACCGGCCCGGGGUCGCGCAGCGGGCCGGGGACGGAGCUGGGAAUGAAACCGAAUCUCCCGAUUCCCAGGAGAUCGAGCGGUCGGUCGGUCGGUCGGUCGGUCGGUCACGGGCGUGGAACGGUGUCCCGUGUACUGAGUGCUCGGGAGAGUUGGGCGUAAUUGUGUCGGUAGACGUGUUCCCCGCCCCCGAGGGGCUUACGGUCUAGAGGGGGAGGCAGCCGUUAAGAGAGAUUACAGCUACGGGCAUAAAUGCCGCGGGGUUGAAUGCGGGGAGACUGGCCUGCGCUUAAAGGGUGCAGAUACGAGUGUAGGGAAGACUCAGAGCGGGGGAGAGAGAGGGUAGGAGAAACGAGGGCUUCGCCGGGGAAGUCCCCUCGGAGAAGUAAUUUUAAUAAGGCUUCGAAGGGGGAGAGAGCCAUGGCUUGUCAACCCAUCGGUGGUAUUCACCGAGUGCUUACCGCGUGCAAGGCGCUGAACUAAACGCUUGGGAGGGGAACGACGCACCAAUAUGACAGAUAGGUUUCCUGCCCACGGUAAGGUUACAGUCUGUAGGAUGUGAAGGGGGAUGGAGUUCCAGGCCAGAGGCAGGGAACGGGCCAGGUGUCGGCGGCAAGGCAGUCGAGUUCGAAGUACGGCGAGUAGGUCGGCAUUGGAGGUUGCCAUUACAAACUGUGCAGGCUGGAUUGGAGUAGGAAAUCGGGGAGGCGGGAUAGGACGGGGAGAGCUGAUUGAGUGCUUUAAAACCAACGGUGAGGAGUGUCUGUCUGAUGCAGAGAUGGAUGGGCAACCCCUGGAGGUUCUCGAGGAGUGGGGGAAAUGUGGACUCUACGUUUCCGUGGAAAAACGAUCCGAGCGACAGAGCCAAGUCGGGGAGAGACGAGGGGCAGCGGGGUGAGCGAAGAAGUUCAGACUCAAGUAGUCGAGGUGGGAAAGGUCAAGCGCUUGGAUCGGCCUAGCGGCGGUCCGGAUGGAGAGGGAAGGGUGGAUUUUAGAAAUGUUGUGAAGGUAGGACCGACGGGAUUUGGUGACAGACGGAACGUGUAGGUCGAAUGAAUGAAACGAGUUGAGGAUGACGCCAGGCUUACAGGCUUGUGAGAGACGGCGGUGCCGUCUACGGCGAUGGAGAUGUCAGAGAGGGGGCAGGGUUUGAGUGGGAAGAUGGCUUCUUUUUUGGACUUGCUAAAUUCUAGCUGUGGGUGGGUCACCCAAACGGAGAUGUCUUGGAGGCAGGAGGAAAUGACUGCGGAGAAAGAGAGAGGUCGAGGCCGGAGAUGCAGAUCUGGGAAUCAUCAGCGUAGAGUUCUUCGCGGGAGUGAAUUCCUUCUCCCAGGAACUGGGUGUGGAUGGAGAAGAGGACCCAGAACCGAGCCCUGGGGGACUCCCACAGUUAGGGGGUGGGAGACAGAGGAGGAGCCGGCAGAAGAGACUGAGAAUGAGCAGCCAGAGAGAUAAGAGGAGAAUCGGGAGAGGACAGGGAAGCCAAGCUAAGAUAGGGAUUCCGAGAGAAGGGAGCGGCCUACCGUGUUCGAGGCAGCCGAGAGGUGGAGGAGGAUUAGGAAGUCGUAGAGGCCAUUGAAUUCGGCAAAAGGGAGAUCCGCGGUGGCCUUCGAGAGGGCGGUUUCCACGGAGCGGAGGGGGCGGAAGCCAGAUGAGCGGGGGCCGAGGGGAGAGCCCCAGGAGAGAAAGUGGAGACGAUGGGUGUAGGCAACUAGCUCGCGGAG
rnacentral:lncRNA from 1 species